UNUGAAGUUAAAGGCUGUGGCUUAACCAUAGUACGCUUUGGAAACUGUAUAACUUGAGUGCAGAAGGGGAGAGUGGAAUUCCAUGUGUAGCGGUGAAAUGCGUAGAUAUAUGGAGGAACACCGGUGGCGAAAGCGGCUCUCUGGUCUGUAACUGACGCUGAGGCUNGAAAGCGUGGGGAGCGAACAGGAUUAGAUACCCUGGUAGUCCACGCCGUAAACGAUGAGUGCUAGGUGUUAGGCCCUUUCCGGGGCUUAGUGCCGCAGCUAACGCAUUAAGCACUCCGCCUGGGGAGUACGACCGCAAGGUUGAAACUCAAAGGAACUGACGGGGGCCCGCACAAGCGGUGGAGCAUGUGGUUUAAUUCGAAGCAACGCGAAGAACCUUACCAGGUCUUGACAUCCCGAUGCCCGCUCUAGAGAUAGAGUUUUACUUCGGUACAUCGGUGACAGGUGGUGCAUGGUUGUCGUCAGCUCGUGUCGUGAGAUGUUGGGUUAAGUCCCGCAACGAGCGCAACCCUUAUUGUUAGUUGCCAUCAUUCAGUUGGGCACUCUAGCGAGACUGCCGGUAAUAAACCGGAGGAAGGUGGGGAUGACGUCAAAUCAUCAUGCCCCUUAUGACCUGGGCUACACACGUGCUACAAUGGCUGGUACAACGAGUCGCAAGUCGGUGACGGCAAGCUAAUCUCUUAAAGCCAGUCUCAGUUCGGAUUGUAGGCUGCAACUCGCCUACAUGAAGUCGGAAUCGCUAGUAAUCGCGGAUCAGCACGCCGCGGUGAAUACGUUCCCGGGCCUUGUACACACCGCCCGUCACACCACGAGAGUUUGUAACACCCGAAGUCGGUGAGGUANCCUUUUAGGAGCCA
rnacentral:rRNA from 1 species